CCCUUAGAUGUUCUGGGCAGCACGCGCGCUACAAUGGUCUUCGCAAACGGAUGCAUUCUCGAAGGAGAAUGCCAAUCUUGGAAUCUAUGCCUUGGUCGGGACAGUUGCUUGCAAUUUUUCGACUCGAACCAGGAAUUCCUUGUAAUCGUGAUUCAUCACAUCACGAUGAAUACGUCCCUGCCCUUUGUACACACCGCCCGUCGCUCCUACCGAUUGAAUGAUCCGAUGAAUACCAUGGAUUGAGAGUUCGAAUAGGUUCGCCUAUUUCAGCUUCUCGAGAAGUGGAGUAAAUCUUAUCAUUUAGAGGAAGGAGAAGUCGUAACA
rnacentral:rRNA from 1 species